AUUUCAACUAUUAAUUUCGAAGAAAAAGCGCUCGACGGAAAACCCUAGUGCUCUCAACUCAGCCGCCGGAGGAAAAUUUGCAGAUCUGGGGCUGGAAUGCGGUGGCUUCCUUAGCACCGGUUCUAGCCUCCCCCUUCUUUGUUUAGAUUUCGUCCUUGUUCUCUUUUUUCUAGUUUGUUUUGGUGUUGUUUGGAGGCUCUUCUUGUCGAAUCGGAUCGGAUUUUGGAAGUGUCGGAGGUCGUCAUAGCCUUUCUCUUUCGCCGGUGACCGGUGUUUCUCUAAACCAGAGGAUAUCCGGUUCUUGAUGUGGGGGUUGGGGUUUUACAGCAUCUUUUGGCCAAAGCGUGGGGAUCACAGAAAUGGUGCAACUGAGGACGGGAAGAUGGUUGUUUCCAUGGCGGAAAGGAGUGUCACAAACAUAGCUGCUAGCUAACCUAGCUCUACCAAUCCAUAAAUGAGCAACCUCCAAGAAGAAGAUGAACCCCUCCAGGAUAAAGAGACGUGUUAGAACCAGUUGCUACAACACAUGAAGCAACCAGUUCACUUGACUAGUAUUGUACUUGAUGAGCUAUCUAGUAGGAUUGAUGGGUGGAGGACUGGGUGAAAUCCAAGGCUCUUGAGGACAUGGAAGAUAAACAACAGAAGGAGGCAAGUUGUUUGUUCUAUUGACUGGUGGAAGACUGCUUGCAGAUCAAACUCAAAGGCCAAGGUUUUAAACAGCUGAUUCAAAAGGAGUUAAUGAGUAUGAGGAAUCAGAACUAGAAGGAUAAUGAUUUAAGUCGUCAAGUGAAGAGCCCAGAUGUUUGUUCCGUUGACUGGAGGAGGCUGCUUGCUGAGCAAACUCGAAGGCCAAGAUUGUACAUGCUGAGCUAUUGAAAUUGAUGGAUGGAGGAGAAGAAACAGCAUCUCUGGUGACAAAGCUAGAUGGUGAUUCAAGAGGUGGUCCUGCUUUGAGUCUCAAGGAGGUUAUUGCCAAACUGGAAGGGGUUGCUGUCAUUCAGUACUAUUGCAGGCGACAGUUGAUGAGUCCCUCUAUAAUCUUGCUGGAGAGCUAAUGAUGAUUCAAGAGGUGGUGCUGCUCUGAGUCCAAGGAGGUUAUUCCCAAACUGGAAGGGGUUGCUGUCAUCCAGUACUGUGCAUUACGGCUAUUGCAGGUUAUUUUAGCUGUCGCGUGUAAAAUUUGCAUCUAAUACUCUUGUCGUGUCAAU